rnacentral:rRNA from 1 species
GACCAGACUCCUACGGGAGGCAGCAGUGGGGAAUAUUGCACAAUGGGGGAAACCCUGAUGCAGCGACGCCGCGUGAGUGAAGAAGUAUUUCGGUAUGUAAAGCUCUAUCAGCAGGGAAGAUAAUGACGGUACCUGAGUAAGAAGCCCCGGCUAACUACGUGCCAGCAGCCGCGGUAAUACGUAGGGGGCAAGCGUUAUCCGGAUUUACUGGGUGUAAAGGGAGCGUAGACGGCAUGGCAAGUCUGAAGUGAAAGCCCGGGGCUCAACCGCGGGACUGCUUUGGAAACUGUUAAGCUGGAGUGCAGGAGAGGUAAGUGGAAUUCCUAGUGUAGCGGUGAAAUGCGUAGAUAUCAGGAGGAACACCGGUGGCGAAGGCGGCUUACUGGACCAUAACUGACGUUGAGGCUCGAAAGCGUGGGGAGCGAACAGGAUUAGAUACCCCAGUA